rnacentral:rRNA from 1 species
AUUGAACGCUGGCGGCAGGCCUAACACAUGCAAGUCGAACGAGUGGCGGACGGGUGAGUAAUGUCUGGGACAGUGCCCGAUGGAGGGGGAUAACUACUGGAAACGGUAGCUAAUACCGCAUACCCUCGGAUGUGCCCAUAUGGGAUUCGCUUGUAGGUGGUGUAACGGCUACCCUAGGCGACGAUCCCUAGCUGGUCUGAGAGGAUGACCAGCCACACUGGAACGGAGACACGGUCCAGACUCCUACGGGAGGCAGCAGUGGGGAAUAUUGCACAAUGGGCGCAAGCCUGAUGCAGCCAUGCCGCGUGUAUGAAGAAGGCCUUAGGGUUGUAAAGUACUUUCAGCGGGGAGGCGUUACUCGCAGAAGAAGCACCGGCUAACUCCGUGCCAGCAGCCGCGGUAAUUC